CCUGGCUCAGGACGAACGCUGGCGGCGCGCCUAACACAUGCAAGUCGAACGAGCGAGAGAGAGCUUGCUUUCUCGAGCGAGUGGCGAACGGGUGAGUAACGCGUGAGGAACCUGCCUCAAAGAGGGGGACAACAGUUGGAAACGACUGCUAAUACCGCAUAAGCCCACAGCUCGGCAUCGAGCAGAGGGAAAAGGAGCAAUCCGCUUUGAGAUGGCCUCGCGUCCGAUUAGCUAGUUGGUGAGGUAAUGGCCCACCAAGGCGACGAUCGGUAGCCGGACUGAGAGGUUGAACGGCCACAUUGGGACUGAGACACGGCCCAGACUCCUACGGGAGGCAGCAGUGGGGAAUAUUGCACAAUGGGGGAAACCCUGAUGCAGCGACGCCGCGUGGAGGAAGAAGGUCUUCGGAUUGUAAACUCCUGUUGUUGAGGAAGAUAAUGACGGUACUCAACAAGGAAGUGACGGCUAACUACGUGCCAGCAGCCGCGGUAAAACGUAGGUCACAAGCGUUGUCCGGAAUUACUGGGUGUAAAGGGAGCGCAGGCGGGAAGACAAGUUGGAAGUGAAAUCCAUGGGCUCAACCCAUGAACUGCUUUCAAAACUGUUUUCCGUGAGUAGUGCAGAGGUAGGCGGAAUUCCCGGGGUAGCGGUGGAAUGCGUAGAUAUCGGGAGGAACACCAGUGGCGAAGGCGGCCUACUGGGCACCAACUGACGCUGAGGCUCGAAAGUGUGGGUAGCAAACAGGAUUAGAUACCCUGGUAGUCCACACUGUAAACGAUGAUUACUAGGUGUUGGAGGAUUGACCCCUUCAGUGCCGCAGUUAACACAAUAAGUAAUCCACCUGGGGAGUACGACCGCAAGGUUGAAACUCAAAGGAAUUGACGGGGGCCCGCACAAGCAGUGGAGUAUGUGGUUUAAUUCGACGCAACGCGAAGAACCUUACCAAGUCUUGACAUCCCUUGACGAUGCUGGAAACAGUAUUUCUCUUCGGAGCAAGGAGACAGGUGGUGCAUGGUUGUCGUCAGCUCGUGUCGUGAGAUGUUGGGUUAAGUCCCGCAACGAGCGCAACCCUUAUGGUCAGUUACUACGCAAGAGGACUCUGGCCAGACUGCCGUUGACAAAACGGAGGAAGGUGGGGAUGACGUCAAAUCAUCAUGCCCUUUAUGACUUGGGCUACACACGUACUACAAUGGCGUUAAACAAAGAGAAGCAAGACCGCGAGGUGGAGCAAAACUCAGAAACAACGUCCCAGUUCGGACUGCAGGCUGCAACUCGCCUGCACGAAGUCGGAAUUGCUAGUAAUCGCAGAUCAGCAUGCUGCGGUGAAUACGUUCCCGGGCCUUGUACACACCGCCC
rnacentral:rRNA from 1 species